rnacentral:rRNA from 1 species
UACGAAGGGGGCGAGCGUUGUUCGGAAUUACUGGGCGUAAAGGGCGCGUAGGCGGCUUAACAAGUCACUUGUGAAAUCUCCGGGCUUAACUCGGAACGGCCAAGUGAAACUGUCAAGCUAGAGUGCAGAAGGGGCAAUCGGAAUUCUUGGUGUAGCGGUGAAAUGCGCAGAUAUCGGGAGGAACACCCGUGGCGAAGGCGGUUCUCUGGGACGGUACUGACGCUGAGACGCGAAAGCUAGGGGAGCAAACAGG